AUUGAACGCUGGCGGCAUGCUUUACACAUGCAAGUCGAACGGUAGCAGGCCGCAAGGUGCUGACGAGUGGCGAACGGGUGAGUAAUGCAUCGGAACGUGCCCAGUCGUGGGGGAUAACUACUCGAAAGAGUAGCUAAUACUGCAUACGAUCUAUGGAUGAAAGCGGGGGACCGUAAGGCCUCGCGCGAUUGGAGCGGCCGAUGUCAGAUUAGGUAGUUGGUGGGGUAAAGGCUCACCAAGCCAACGAUCUGUAGCUGGUCUGAGAGGACGACCAGCCACACUGGGACUGAGACACGGCCCAGACUCCUACGGGAGGCAGCAGUGGGGAAUUUUGGACAAUGGGCGCAAGCCUGAUCCAGCAAUGCCGCGUGCAGGAAGAAGGCCUUCGGGUUGUAAACUGCUUUUGUACGGAACGAAACGGCUCUGGUUAAUACCCGGGGCUAAUGACGGUACCGGAAGAAUAAGCACCGGCUAACUACGUG
rnacentral:rRNA from 1 species